rnacentral:lncRNA from 1 species
CUCCCAUGGAGACCACACUGCCCUUGCCCGACAAGGCAGCUAUGUCCGUCCGGCGUCCGUAGGAGCGCCGGCCAGCCUGUCCCCAGAGCCCCACCCCACAGCCUGCCUUUGGCCAGGCCCGCUCUCUGGUCGCCUACUGGGGGCUACAUGUCCUACAUCUUUACAUUCAUAGCGACAACACAGGUCAACUCGACAGAAAGAAAACCGGUCCCCAAGGCCACGCCCGGCUCCCGGACCCCACAAGGAGAGUGGCCACCACACCCGAAGCUCCUCAACACCAGCUAGCAGUCCCCUCCAGGACACGUGGAAGCUGCUGGACCUGGGAUCCAGCCCCUCCGGCCUCACCUCCCAGGACGACUCUGAGCCAGGUCCAGCCACC